rnacentral:rRNA from 1 species
UACCUGCAGCCCGAGUGGUGAUCGAUAUUAUUGAGCCUAAAGCGUCCGUAGCCGGUCUGGUAAACUCUUGGGUAAAUUGGGCAGCUCAACUGUCCGAAUUCCGAGAGGACUGCCAGACUUGGGACCGGGAGAGGUCAGAGGUACUCCAGGGGUAGGGCUAAAUCCUGUAAUCCUUGGGGGACCACCAGUGGCGAAGGCGUCUGACUAGAACGGAUCCGACGGUAAGGGACGAAACCUUGGGGCGCAAACCGGAUUAGAUACCCGGGUAGUCCAAGGCGUAAACGCUGCAGGCUUGGUGUUGGGGGUCCUACGAGGGCGCCCAGUGCCGGAGUGAAGAUGUUAAGCCUGCCGCUUGGGGAGUACGUCCGCAAGGAUGAAACUUAAAGGAAUUGGCGGGAGAGCACAGCAACGGGAGGAGCGUGCGGUUC